rnacentral:lncRNA from 1 species
UGGAUUUUGGAGCCAAGGGUGAUGGAGUUACAGAUGAUACUCAGGUCACCAUCACUGCUUUCAAAAUACUCUGCUUCCAACUAGGACACUUUUGUCACCUGCAUCGCAUAUUUCAAGUCAGAAUUUCUUUUUCCAGGCAUCAUGGUAUACUUAGUUUGUUUUCACAGUUACUAUUACUACCCUCAAAUGACUGACUCAAGCUAAUGUCCAUCCGCAUAACAUCUCACUAUAAGAGUUCAUCAACUUUACAAUGCCCCUAGUAUUGGAAUUUCAAAUAAACGCUCACCCUGUAACAUUAUUUCACAUUGAUCACAUUUCCUGCAGGAAGUAUUCUUAAAAAAUAAAUGUUUUUAAAAUGCUAUCAUAUAUUCUCACUAAGCACACUUCAGGACAUGAUUGCCAAAGCUACUGUUUUCCUUUAGGAAAAAUGGUCACAUGAUAUUGUUUGCAUGCAUUAGCCUUUAAAAAUGGUUACGUUACAUGCUAUUAUAUCGUUCAUUGUUCAAGGUUGGAGUCUGACAUCACAGUACAAGUGCAUAUGGAGCCACAACCUAGAUUUAUUUUUCUAAGAUUGUUCUUUUUCCCACAUGAUUGGGUGCAUUUCUGGGAAGGCAUACACAUCAUGCUAGACACUGCAUUUUGGGGUCGAAGGAAAUGGACACCACGUAAUGACACUGCAUUUCCAAAGAAUAUGUCAAUCCCUAAAUUCAGUAUGGACAUGGGAGAUAUCGAGUCUUUUUGUCUUUCUGUGUCCUUGCUUUUUCACGAGCAUAAAGAAUUUUAUGCUGAACUGAAAUUAGAACUUAUGUCAUCACCUGAGAAAUUACCCUAGUUCUAUCACCUAAAGUUAACCAGAGUAAAACAUAUUAUAGAAUAAUAUAAUAAUUUAGCCUUCUCUAUUUAGAGUAACACAUAUAUGCUGAUAAUCAUGCGCAGCGCAGUAAAAGAAACUUCCAACAGCAACGGGAAUCUGAGUGUACACUUGUGAUCACUGCUAAUGAUAUAAUGAAACUGAGCAGCGCACAUUCCCAAUGAGCUGAACUAAAUAAUUGCAAUAUAUAUACAGGCUUUUGAAGCAGCAUGGGCAGCAGCAUGCAAGGUGGAGGCAUCUACGGUUCUUGUACCAUCUGAACUCGAGUUUGUCGUUGGCCCAGUCUCAUUUUCUGGGCCUUACUGUAAACCAAACAUUCUAUUCCAGGUAAAUAUACUUCAGAACCCUAACAUGUGUCCUUAUAUAACAAGAUAUAAGGCUUGUACUUUUUUUCCGGCCAUAUCGCACUACUUGUGAAACUACAUAUAUUAACCACCACAGAGUUUUAUCCAAUAAAGAACAUAUACGUAGUUUUGCGCUCUUUGUGCACCUUCCUAAUUCUACACAUUGCAGUUUCGACUUUCAAGUCAACAGACAGAUUGGCUUAGUGUUUCCUGAAACUAACUAAAUAUUUCGACUUAGCAUGUCAGUAUCGUCUGCUUUUGCUGUUUCAUUAUACACCUUAAAACAUAUUAAUGAAUGUAUGUUUGUUUGCCAAAGAAUGUGAAAUAAAAUGAAGAGCUCUAUACUCUAUCCCUGACCUCGUUACAAUCAGAAUGGGCAAAUCACGCAACAAAGCAUAAUCAAAAUGAAGAACAAAGUACAUAAGCAAAAAAUACUAGUACUAAAUGACAUGUUUUAAUUGUGCAGCUAGAUGGAACUAUUUUAGCUCAAACUAGUGCAAGAGUGUGGGGUUCUGGUUUGCUUCAAUGGCUUGAGUUCACGAAGCUAACUGGAAUAGCAAUCCAAGGCAGUGGUGUAAUAAAUGGCAGGGGGCAAGAAUGGUGGACCUACUCAGAUCCAAAUGAUGAUGACGACAACGAUGCAGUAAGACCUGAUCAUCUAACAACAUCCUACUUAUAGAUAAGUUUUUUUUAUGGAUACUUAUAGACAAGUUGAAAGUAGACAAAUUUAAUUGCUUACCUGGGUGCUUUCCAACAGUUCAGAGUGGAGCUAGACAAGAUGCCACAAAUUAAACCUACGGUAAGUAGACUACUAUUACAGCACUUACCUUUCUUCUAAUUGCAAACAAAAAAAAUUACAGCUAUGGUUUCUUACUCUGAUGCAGGCGCUGAGAUUUUAUGGCAGUUCCAAUGUCACAGUAACGGGUAUCACGAUUGUUAACAGUUCACAGUGCCAUCUGAAGUUUGAUAGCUGUCAAGGAGUCAUGGUUCAUGAUUUAACCAUCUCUUCCCCUGAGAAUAGUCCCAACACUGAUGGAAUACACCUGCAAAACUCCAGAGAAGUCAACAUUCACCACACCAACAUGGCUUGCGGUAAUGCUCAUAGAAUUCAUAUCAAGCAGUUACUCAAUAGUUCUAAAAGAAGUAGUUACUCAAUAGUUCUAAAAAAGUAUUUACCCGAUACGGCCAGCCAUUUGUGCUCAUUAAACUAGUUUACAAGAAUUAGUUAAAAAGCCACCUCAUGUAGUAUAUAGAUACAAAGACAUUCUGCUAACCAGUCACUUUAGAUAACUGCAGAACUUCUAAAAAAGCAAUAUUUUCAGGACUAAGGGAGCAAGCUCAAAAACACUAGCAGGACCUGGAUUAUCGACAGAUUUCUUCUAAAAGUAAAACUUGUUAUUAACAAUGAAUUUUGUGCCUUGUGCAAUGCAGGUGAUGACUGUGUUUCCAUACAGACAGGAUGCAGUGACAUAAACAUACAUAACGUGAACUGUGGACCAGGCCAUGGGAUCAGCAUUGGUGGUCUAGGGAGGUACAACACAAAAGCAUGUGUAUCCAACGUCACUGUAAGAGAUGUCAACAUGGUUAAAACAACGAAUGGGGUCAGAAUCAAGACUUGGCAGGUAAGCAUAACCUGACAACUCCAGAGCUUUUCAUCCACCAAGUACAGCUACACUCGCCGAGCUAAACGUGCUGACAUCUUGAUGCAGGGUGGUUCCGGGCUGGUUCAGGGUAUAAGGUUCUCAAACAUACAGGUCUCAGAAGUUCAAACGCCUAUCAUAAUAGACCAAUUCUACUGUGACAAAACAACGUGCAGAAAUCAAACCUCAGCAGUGGCGGUUUCAGGUGUUCAGUAUGAGAACAUCAGGGGGACUUUCACAAUUAAACCGGCCCACUUUGCGUGCAGCGACAGCUCGC